rfam:Dipodomys ordii contig_8594, whole genome shotgun sequence.
GGGAAUAUGGCUCAGUGGUAGAGUGCUUGUCUAGCAUGCAUGAAGCCCUGGGUUCGAUUCCUCAGUACCA